rnacentral:misc_RNA from 1 species
UGGCUCUAGCAUCGAUGAAGAACGCAGCGAAAUGCGAUAAGUAAUGCGAAUUGCAGAAUUCCGCGAGUCAUCGAAUCUUUGAACGCACAUUGCGCCUGCCGGUACUCCGGCAGGCAUGCCUGUUCGAGCGUCAUUCCAACCCUCAGGUGCGCUGUUGCCGCCUGGUGUUGGGGGUGCCGCGGCGCUGGCCGCGGCCCCCCGAAAGGCAGGGGCGGACCUCCCAGGACUCCGAGCGCAGUAAUUCUUCCUCGCUCAGGGCGUCUCGGGGGGCUCUUCCAGCCCUAAAAACCCCAACUCUUUUGACGUUUGACCUCGGAUCAGGUAGGAAUACCCGCUGA